rnacentral:rRNA from 1 species
UACGUAGGUGGCGAGCGUUGUCCGGAUUUACUGGGCGUAAAGAGCGCGCAGGCGGUCGUACAAGUCGCGUGUGAAAGCCCCCGGCUCAACUGGGGAGGGUCACGCGAUACUGUUCGACUCGAAGGCAGGAGAGGGAAGUGGAAUUCCCGGUGUAGUGGUGAAAUGCGUAGAUAUCGGGAGGAACACCAGUGGCGAAGGCGACUUCCUGGCCUGUUCUUGACGCUGAGGCGCGAAAGCGUGGGGAGCGAUCCGG